GACGAACGCUGGCGGCGUGCUUAACACAUGCAAGUCGAGCGAUGAAGUUCCUUCGGGAAUGGAUUAGCGGCGGACGGGUGAGUAACACGUGGGUAACCUGCCUCGUAGAGGGGAAUAGCCUUCCGAAAGGAAGAUUAAUACCGCAUAAGAUUGUAGUACCGCAUGGUAUAGCAAUUAAAGGAGUAAUCCGCUAUGAGAUGGACCCGCGUCGCAUUAGCUAGUUGUGAGGUAACGGCUCACCAAGGCGACGAUGCGUAGCCGACCUGAGAGGGUGAUCGGCCACAUUGGGACUGAGACACGGCCCAGACUCCUACGGGAGGCAGCAGUGGGGAAUAUUGCACAAUGGGGGAAACCCUGAUGCAGCAACGCCGCGUGAGUGAUGACGGUCUUCGGAUUGUAAAGCUCUGUCUUCAGGGACGAUAAUGACGGUACCUGAGGAGGAAGCCACGGCUAACUACGUGCCAGCAGCCGCCGUAA
rnacentral:rRNA from 1 species